AAACUUGGGAAAAGCUUCGUUAGAUCCCCUCCGUUAUCCUUCUUUCUCUCUCUCGCUCUCUCUCUUUCUCCUUUUCUUUUUUCUUUUCCUUUCUUCUCCACAGACCUCACCUCCCACCAAACCCUCUCUCCUCCACAGCAUGCCCACCUCCCACUUCGCCCACUCGCCCCCUCGCCGCAGUUUUCGCCUGCCCGCUUGCUCUCUCACUUUCUCUCUUUCUUCUUUUUCUUUUUAUUUUUCCUUUCUUCUUCACAGAGCUUACCACCAAACCCUCCCUCCUCUACACCCCGCCCACCUCCCAUCUCGCCCACCUCGCCGAUUCGCCCCCUCGCCUGCUCGCUCGCUUGUUGGCUCACUUACCCCCUCGCCUACUUCUCAGGUUUGAUU
rnacentral:lncRNA from 1 species